UGGAAAGUUCCAUUAACAGGAAAUGAGUAAAGAUGGAGUACAAGAAGGGGAUACUGCCAGGCUGUGCUGAUGCUGCUGGUCUGGGGAACCACACUUUGAGAAACACUGCUUCAAGGAACGUCUGUGGCCAAAGAAAGUCUUGUUACCAUGGUGGGCAUUGAGGGAAACCACGGAGAAAUGGAAUUGGAAAAAUCUCAAGGACAAGAAUUGUAAGAGGACCAUUAAUGUCUCUCUACUUUGUUGAAGAAUAUUGGAUAAAGAUAAAAGACAACAAUUUGGCUAUCUGGAAUUCAUGCAAUUUCC
rnacentral:lncRNA from 1 species